UAAAAUAACCGAUCUUAAAACACUUUUAAGAUCAUUUCUUUUAUAAUCGAUCUUAAAAGUGCUACUUUUAAAAUCAGUUAUUUUA
rnacentral:miRNA from 1 species